rnacentral:rRNA from 1 species
GAUGAACGCUGGCGGCGUGCCUAAUACAUGCAAGUCGAGCGAACAGAUGAGGAGCUUGCUCCUCUGACGUUAGCGGCGGACGGGUGAGUAACACGUGGAUAACCUACCUAUAAGACUGGGAUAACUUCGGGAAACCGGAGCUAAUACCGGAUAAUAUAUUGAACCGCAUGGUUCAAUAGUGAAAGACGGUUUUGCUGUCACUUAUAGAUGGAUCCGCGCCGCAUUAGCUAGUUGGUAAGGUAACGGCUUACCAAGGCAACGAUGCGUAGCCGACCUGAGAGGGUGAUCGGCCACACUGGAACUGAGACACGGUCCAGACUCCUACGGGAGGCAGCAGUAGGGAAUCUUCUGCAAUGGGCGAAAGCUUGACGGAGCAACGCCGCGUGAGUGAUGAAGGUCUUCGGAUCGUAAAACUCUGUUAUUAGGGAAGAACAAAUGUGUAAGUAACUAUGCACGUCUUGACGGUACCUAAUCAGAAAGCCACGGCUAACUACGUG